AGAAUCGUACUUCACAGGAUCAUUUCUGUAGUACGUAUUCUCACACUUGACUAUCAACAGUUGAGUAGAUUACUACCACGAUGACGAGUGAUAGGAACUUUUCCUGAGCGUGAGGCAGAUUGGGAGGUGCCGGAAGGUGUUUCGCAAUCAUCGAUGAUCGUUCAGAUUCGAGUAAUCGGAUCCGAGGGAAGAGUUCCGUUCUGAGUGGU